rnacentral:ncRNA from 1 species
AAAACGGAGAGUUUGAUCCUGGCUCAGGAUGAACGCUGGCGGCGUGCUUAACACAUGCAAGUCGAACGAACCUUCGGGUUAGUGGCGGACGGGUGAGUAACGCGUGAGAAUCUGCCCUCAGGAGGGGGACAACAGUUGGAAACGACUGCUAAUACCCCAUAUGCCGAGAGGUGAAACGAAUUUCGCCUGGGGAUGAGCUCGCGUCUGAUUAGCUUGUUGGUGGGGUAAUGGCUUACCAAGGCUUCGAUCAGUAGCUGGUCUGAGAGGACGAUCAGCCACACUGGGACUGAGACACGGCCCAGACUCCUACGGGAGGCAG